AAAAACUUCUCAAACUCUACCUCUUCUUAAAUGGUGUAAAGAUAAAGAACUGUGCUGGUCUUAAACUGAUGGAUCUAUAUCAUCAUGAUAGAGAAGGAGGAUUUGGGGAUUAAAAGUGCAAGCUUUUUUUUAAAAAAAAAAUAAAAAUCGCAAUUUUUUAACUAUUGUCUGUACUGGAAAUUGAAAAAAAAAAAUUCUGUUUUUUUAUUAAAUAAAUUGGACCGGCCGGUUAGACAAAACCGGCACCGGUUCACUGGUUCAUCCGGUUUUUACCGGUUCGCACCGGUUUUUACGGUUUUUUGAGCGGUUUUGCAGACUGCCGGUUCUGGAAGGCUAGCCGGACCGGUGCUAGGUCCGGUUCUCGGUCGAACCGGUUGGACCGGCCGGUCCGGU
rnacentral:lncRNA from 1 species